rnacentral:rRNA from 1 species
GACGGACGCUGGCGGCGUGCUUAACACAUGCAAGUCGAACGGAAAGGCCAGUGCUUGCACUGGUACUCGAGUGGCGAACGGGUGAGUAACACGUGGGUGAUCUGCCUUGCACUCUGGGAUAAGCUUGGGAAACUGGGUCUAAUACCGGAUAUGAGCCGCUUUUAGUGUGGUGGUUGGAAAGUUUUUCGGUGCAAGAUGAGCUCGCGGCCUAUCAGCUUGUUGGUGGGGUAAUGGCCUACCAAGGCGUCGACGGGUAGCCGGCCUGAGAGGGUGUACGGCCACAUUGGGACUGAGAUACGGCCCAGACUCCUACGGGAGGCAGCAGUGGGGAAUAUUGCACAAUGGGCGGAAGCCUGAUGCAGCGACGCCGCGUGGGGGAUGACGGCCUUCGGGUUGUAAACUCCUUUCGACAGGGACGAAGCUUUUUGUGACGGUACCUGUAUAAGAAGCACCGGCUAACUACGUGCCAGCAGCCGCGGUAAUACGUAGGGUGCGAGCGUUGUCCGGAAUUACUGGGCGUAAAGAGCUCGUAGGUGGUUUGUCGCGUCGUCUGUGAAAUUCCGGGGCUUAACUUCGGGCGUGCAGGCGAUACGGGCAUAACUUGAGUGCUGUAGGGGAGACUGGAAUUCCUGGUGUAGCGGUGAAAUGCGCAGAUAUCAGGAGGAACACCGAUGGCGAAGGCAGGUCUCUGGGCAGUUACUGACGCUGAGGAGCGAAAGCAUGGGUAGCAAACAGG